UGCUAAUAUUAUGGCUUCUCUUUUAAAAUAGCCAAAGGUUUCAACCAGUCUAGCUGCUGCCACCUUCUUAUUAAACUUUAAUAAGCUAAGCUUUUUAAGCCACAUAAAAAUUUCAUCAAGCAUUUGUCAACCUUGGGGAAAACGGAAGGAGGAAAAAAGGUCAGAACAUCACUUUCCACCACAGUAGCAUCUGGAGAGACGCUUUGGAAGGAUCCUGCAUGCAGUCAGCCGCAAAAUAAAUGCUAGGAAACAAGCUCGCAGUUUGUGGCCUGCACCAGAUGGUGAUUAUGUUUCCUCCUUCAUCAGCCCCGGCCCCACACUGGGUGCUAAUUAAAGCACUAUCUUCCAAUAGCAGGCUCCUGGGACAACCGUGAGCCUUUGUUCCAACGUCCUCAGGGUGAGCUACACCCAGUCCACUAACACAGGCUUGCCUGUCAACAACACCACUCCAGAGCAGCUCCUUCUCAUUUUACUUUCAGUGUUUCGU
rnacentral:lncRNA from 1 species